GACCCAGGGAUCAAACAUGGGUCUCCUGCAUCGCAGACAGAUUCAUUAUCAUCUGAUCUACCAGGGAAGACCUCCACUACUUUUGUUAGUAGAGGAGGUGCAACUCAGAAGGUGGAGACCUAGACUCAGAUCCAUCUGGUUGGCUGGGAUGCAAGGCUUUUAAAGGCAAAAAGGUAAAGAAGAAGACGUCUCUGUGAUUUCACCUUCCUUGAUAAGGCCUCAGCUGCAGACUUCCUGGCGCCGUCUUGUGAUUUGAGAUGUCUUUGGUGAUUGCAACUGAUCUAUGUAUGCCUGCAAAGCCAAUUAGUAAAUCAUGGUCUUGUGAUGUAGCAACUUCUUUCCAGGAGAGAGCAGAAGCCAUGGCUGAGGCAUUUUAUUAUUUACUUAGAGCUUCUGAUUCAGAAGCUUCAGUUCUUAAUUGAUCCUCCUGGUGCCAUCAAUUUCAAGUCCGCUUGGGGCAGCCGGUUAAAGCCACAGGAUGCAGUCUCUGCAGUGUGGGGUCAUAAAUCAAGACAUUAGUUUAAGUUAACUUUGUUGGGCUUGUUUUCCUUUGUUUCUGCUUUCCCUCACUUCCCUAGCUGGAACUGCUUAUAUCUGCUCUUUGGAACUUAGAGAAAGGUCUAGGAGUCUAAAACCAUUACCUACAAACAAGAAACAGGGGACAUGGAGAGGUUUUCCUACCUGGGAGGAUCCCACAGGGUCCUGCUCGGUUUCAAUCCCACAGUGAUAUCUUAGGCAGGCUGGAUCUUUUCUAGUCUUCUUUGACUCAAUCCAAUUUUGUUUCAUACUGGUUUGAAUCUUAUCUUCUCUGUUUUUCCCCAAGCACAGCUCGAGCUGAGACCCCAUCUGCUUGUGUUGAGUGGGAAUGGGAACAUCCGUUUCUCUUUCCUCUUCCUCCAGCGUCCUGGCAUGGGAGAGAGGGGACUGGGGAUAUCUCACUAUUCUCCUGGUGGCGUGCAUAGACCUAGGUGGAGGGUUGCUGUUGUGAUCGUGGCUGGUUACAGUAGGGCUGGUGUUUCCACCUUUUGGUCAACUUUUCAGGUAA